UACGGGGGGGGCAAGCGUUGUUCGGAAUUACUGGGCGUAAAGGGCUCGUAGGCGGCCAACUAAGUCAGACGUGAAAUCCCCAGGCUCAACCUGGGAACUGCGUCUGAUACUGGAUGGCUUGAAUCCGGGAGAGGGAUGCAGAAUUCCAGGUGUAGCGGUGAAAUGCGUAGAGAUCGGGAGGAACACCCGUGGCGAAGGCGGCCACCUGGGCCGACCCUGACGCUGAGGCGCGAAGGCGUGGGGAGCGAACGGG
rnacentral:rRNA from 1 species